rnacentral:rRNA from 1 species
AUGAACACUAGCGGCAGGCUUAAUACAUGCAAGUCGAGGGGCAGCGGGGUAGCAAUACCGCCGGCGACCGGCAAACGGGUGCGGAACACGUACACAACCUUCCUUAAGGUGGGAGAUAGCCCAGAGAAAUUUGGAUUAAUACCCCAUAAGAUAUUGGAGCUGCAUGGCUUUGAUAUUAAAGAUUUAUUGCCUUAAGAUGGGUGUGCGUAUGAUUAGGUAGUUGGUUGAGGUAACGGCUCACCAAGCCUUCGAUCAUUAACUGGUGUGAGAGCACGACCAGUCACACGGGCACUGAGACACGGGCCCGACUCCUACGGGAGGCAGCAGUAAGGAAUAUUGGUCAAUGGACGCAAGUCUGAACCAGCCAUGCCGCGUGAAGGAUGACGGCCCUCUGGGUUUGUAAACUUCUUUUAUAGGGGGAGAAAAAAGGUCAUUAUUGGCCGUCUGACUGGUACCCCUAUGAAUAAGCACCGGCUAACUCCGUGCCAGCAGCCGCGGUAAAUACGGAGGGUGCAAGCGUUAUCCGGAUUCACUGGGUUUAAAAGGGAGCGCAGGGCGGAUUAGUAAGUCAGUGGUGAAAGGCUUAAGCUUAACUUGGGAACUGCCAUUGAUACUAUUAGUCUUGAAUGUUGUUGAGGGUUUUGCGGAAUGGGUCAUGUAGCGGUGAAAUGCAUAGAUAUGACCCGGAACACCUAUUGCGAAGGCAAGCAGGCUAAACAAAUAUUGACGCUGAGGCUCGAAAGCGUGGGGAUCAAACAGGAUUAGAUACCCUGGUAGUCCACGCCCUAAACUAUGAUUACUCGACAUACGCGAUACACUGUGUGUGUCUGAGCGAAAGCAUUAAGUAAUCCACCUGGGAAGUUACGACCGCAAGGUUGAAACUCAAAGGAAUUGACUGGGGGUCCGCACAAAGCGGUGGAGCAUGUGGUUUAAUUCGAUGAUACGCGAGGAACCUUACCUGGGCUAGAAUGCGGUCUGACCGUGGGUGAAUGAAGCUCAUUUUAUAGCAAUAUACGCCGAUCGUAAGGUGCUGCAUGGCUGUCGUCAGCCCUCGUGCCGUGAGGUGUUUGGGUUAAGUCCCGCAACGAGCGCAACCCCUAUCAUCAGUUGCCAACAGGUAAAGCUGGGAACUCUGGUUAAACUGCCGCCGUUAAGGCGUGAGGAAGGAGGGGAUGAUGUCAAGUCAUCAUGGCCUUUAUUGCCCAGGGCUCACACACGUGCUACAAUGGGGGGUACAAAGGGUUGCUACCUGCCGUGACAGGAUGCUAAUCUCAAAAAACCUCUCUCAGAUUCAGAUUGGCAGGCUGCCAACUCUCGCCUGCAUGAAGCUGGAAUCGCUAGUAAUUCGCAGAUCAGCCAAUGCUGCGGUGAAUACGUUCCCCCGGACCUUGUACACACCCGCCCGUCAAGACCAUGGAAGCCGGGGGGACCUGAAGUCGGUAACCGCAAGGAGCCGCCUAGGGUAAGACCGGUAACUGGGGCU